CGCGGGGUGGAGCAGCGGCAGCUCGCCGGGCUCAUAACCCGGAGGUCGUGGGUUCGAGUCCCACCCCCGCUACCA
rnacentral:tRNA from 3 species